rnacentral:rRNA from 1 species
CCUACGGGUGGCUGCAUGUUCCCCAAUGCCGUCAUGAUGGACCGCGAGACGUGGCACCAGAUCCUGCGGGCCAUGAUCUCCGUGCGCGAUGCGCAUGGGUGGCAGGAAUGACACACACCGAAUGACGAAUGUCGAAAGUCAAAUGACGAAAGAAUGUCGAAGGUCAAAUGACGAAUGAAUGUCGAAAGUCAAAUGACGAAGGAAUGUCGAAAGUCAAAUGACGAAUGAAUGUCGAAGGUCAAAUGACGAAAGACGAAUGACGGACCAUCAGGGCGAGCAUCCGCGAAAGUACGAUUUGGAGGAACGGACGGCCAAAUUCGGCGAGGCGAUCAUAGACUUCGCACGCCGACUGCCCGUCAAUCCCGUGACCCAGCCGCUGAUACCCCUGUAGUC